CCUACGGGAGGCAGCAGUGGGGAAUAUUGCGCAAUGGGCGAAAGCCUGACGCAGCGACGCCGCGUGAGGGAUGAAGGUCUUCGGAUCGUAAACCUCUGUCAGCAGGGAAGCACGGUCACUGUGCUAAUCAGCAGUGAAUUGACGGUACCUGCAAAGGAAGCACCGGCUAACUCCGUGCCAGCAGCCGCGGUAAUACGGAGGGUGCGAGCGUUAAUCGGAAUUACUGGGCGUAAAGCGCUCGUAGGCGGUAUGUCAAGUCAAGGGUGAAAUCCCCGCGCUCAACGUGGGAACUGCCUUUGAAACUGGCAAACUGGAGUGUGUGAGAGGAUAGUGGAAUGCCAGGUGUAGGAGUGAAAUGCGUAGAUAUCUGGAGGAACAUCAGUGGCGAAGGCGACUAUCUGGCACAUAACUGACGCUGAGGAGCGAAAGCGUGGGUAGCAAACAGGAUUAGAUACCCGGGUAGUC
rnacentral:rRNA from 1 species